UACGAAGGGGGCUAGCGUUGCUCGGAAUCACUGGGCGUAAAGCGCACGUAGGCGGAUCUUUAAGUCAGAGGUGAAAUCCCGGAGCUCAACUCCGGAACUGCCUUUGAUACUGAGGACCUUGAGUCCGGGAGAGGUGAGUGGAACUCCGAGUGUAGAGGUGAAAUUCGUAGAUAUUCGGAGGAACACCAGUGGCGAAGGCGGCUCACUGGUCCGGUACUGACGCUGAGGUGCGAAAGCGUGGGGAGCAAACAGG
rnacentral:rRNA from 1 species